UAUCCGCUUAUACAAUCAUUCUCUUCACAAAUUGGUUGUGCAUUGGGUGUUGAGUGCUGAUGGAUGACCCGUUUGAUUCUUCAGUGAAUUUGGAGGAGACCCAUUUGAAAGAAGGCUACGACGAAGGCUACAGCGACGGCCUUGUUGCGGGCAAGGAG